rnacentral:tRNA from 1 species
UCCCUGACUGUUCAGUGGUUAGGACUCUGUGCUUUCACUGCUGAGGGCCCAAGUUCAAUCCCUGGUCAAGGAA